rnacentral:tRNA from 1 species
GGCUGGGUAGCUCAGUCGGUAGAGCAGAGGACUGAAAAUCCUUGUGUCGCCGGUUCAAUUCCGGCAAAAUCCUUGUGUCGCCGGUUCAAUUCCGGCCCCAGCCACCA